rnacentral:rRNA from 1 species
AUGGCCUUUUCAACCCACACAACCAUAAAUUUCCGUGACUCUGACUUCCGAGCCCCAGACGCCCUGGGGCUUCCUGAAUGUAUGCUUCAGCUUGCAGCUAUGUCCGUCGACAUCAACAGACUCCAGAGUCCGAAGCAAAACGAAGCCUCCCCGUUCGUUUGGAUUCUGGACCGUCCGAUUGAGCUCCCUGACGCGUCCUGGCCGUCGGAUCGCGAGAUGGAGCGAUCCGGGCCAUCCGAUCGAGAUGGAGCGUUUCUGGCCGUCGGAUCGGGUAAAACACUGCCACCGCCGCCAUCCUCCCUGCCCGCCGCCGGCACCACCAUCCUCCCCGUCCGUCGCCGUCUCCUGUGGGUAAACCGAGAAAAGCGAUCAAUCGGGCCAGAACCCAGUCGCCAUCCCCGUCGCCCCCCUCCGCCGAGCUCUCUUCCUCGUCUUCCCCGUCUACGACCUCCUGCUACUCUCUUCGACCACCGCCAGCGCCCCACCUCCUCUCCCAGAUCAAGGUCAGGCCACCGCAUCCCUCCCUCACUUCCUCCCUCCCUUCCUCGCGUCCGAAUCCCUAGCCAGCGGGAGGCCAUGGCGACCGAGCGGCACAGGCAGCGCAGUGCAGAUAACCCCGCCGCCCCUGCCGCCACCGACCUCCUCCCCAGCACGCGCACACGGACUCCCCCUCCUCCCGCCGCGGCCUCCUCCUUCCACCCUAACCCCAACCCCAAAUCUAGCCGAUCUGACUCCUCCCCUCACCUCCUUCCUCCUUCCACCACUCCAACCUCCACAGAGCCGCGGCCAUGGCGACCGAGCUGCCUUCCCUCACUCCCUCCUCGCACGGGAAACCCUACCCCGCGGGCAACCAUGGCGACCGAGCAGCAGCAGGCAACCAACCUCCAUGACAAGACCUCGACAAGGCUGAUUUGGAAAUCCCCCAGGUCAAUGGGUAGCGGCCAUGGAUCCAGCAAGAAAAGUAGGGACUUCUCUUGUGGUUGGCGUGUGGGAAUUGCUUUGGCAAGAGCUAUGUUCAUGAACCCAACCAUCGUUUUGCUCAAUGAGCCUACCAAUCAUAUCGAUUUGGAAAUCCCCGCCAACCGAGCUAUCGUCUGUUCGUCCCUCCCUCCUCGCGCCCGGAACCCUAGCUCACGGCCAUGGCGACCGUACGCGUCGCAGGUAGGGCAGGAUCUUCAGCACUCCAACACGUUGACAAGGAAGGCGGAUGCGGCGACGGAUAAGAUGUUCAGGCAAAGCUUCCGUGAGCGUGGAUCCGACGAGGUAGAAGACGAGAUGGAGGGUGGGGAUGCAGAAAGGAAGCCCCGCAUGCCACACAUGUUCUGUAAAAUACUCACCACCGCCGUUUCCUUAGCACACCAUUGGCCAUCCCUUCAUCUGUCACGUUCCUAUGGAGGCAUCCUGGGCUAUGCAACAAAGUUGACGAGGCAAACAAUGUUCAAGAAAGCGGAAAGCCCAGCUAGCAUGGCAAGCGACCCUUUUGUUUCUUUUGAAACAACUUCUACUUCGUCUUGUCAAUACCAUGAUGAUUUUGGUUUCUCAAUCCUGGUUAUGAAUCUAUUAGAUUUUGGUGGGCACUGUGCUUCUUGCAAAAUCGCCAUAGAUGCCGACAGGCAUGGUGCCUCCUUUAAUCUGUGCAUGAGCCAGGUUGACUAUGAUGUGCUCAUCAUUGACUCCACCACCGCAGGUUUUGAGGAUGAUAAAUUUUCAUGUGGCUACCAAUGUUAUAAACCAGAAUUCUCUUUCUAA